CCCGAUUGCGAAGGCAGCUCGCGGGAGCGCAACUGACGCUGAAGCUCGAAAGUGCGGGUAUCGAACAGGAUUAGAUACCCUGGUAGNCCGCACGGUAAACGAUGGAUGCCCGCUUUUCGGUCAUAGGNCCGUGAGGCCAAGUGAAAACAUUAAGCAUCCCACCUGGGGAGUACGCCGGCAACGGUGAAACUCAAAGGAAUUGACGGGGGCCCGCACAAGCGGAGGAACAUGUGGUUUAAUUCGAUGAUACGCGAGGAACCUUACCCGGGCUUGAAUUGCAGAUGAAGGAUCCAGAGAUGGUGACGNCCUUCGGGGCAUCUGUGAAGGUGCUGCAUGGUUGUCGUCAGCUCGUGCCGUGAGGUGUCGGCUCAAGUGCCAUAACGAGCGCAACCCCUCUCUUCAGUUGCCAUCAGGUAAAGCUGGGCACUCUGGAGACACUGCCACCGCAAGGUGUGAGGAAGGUGGGGAUGACGUCAAAUCAGCACGGCCCUUACGUCCGGGGCUACACACGUGUUACAAUGGGGGGUACAGCAAGCCGGCUGCCCGCAAGGUCAGUCCAAUCAAGAAAGCCCUCCUCAGUUCGGACUGGGGUCUGCAACCCGACCCCACGAAGCUGGAUUCGCUAGUAAUCGCGCAUCAGCCAUGGCGCGGUGAAUACGUUCCCGGGCCUUGUACACACCGCCCGUCAAGCCAUGAAAGCCGGGGGUGCCUGAAGUCCGUGACCGCAAGGAUCGGCCUAGGGCAAAACUGGUAAUUGGGGCUAAGUCGUAACAAGGUAGCCG
rnacentral:rRNA from 1 species